rnacentral:lncRNA from 1 species
AGAGCUUCUGAUUGUUUUGGCAACGUCUUUGACCGUGGCUCCAACGUCAACUCUUCUUGAACCCCCCAAAAGGAAAGAAAUACGCACAAAGCAGGUAUUUGUUUUUGUUCAACAAUCUGGUCACUCAGAAAUGAGAACUCAGGCCUAUAUGCCCAGAUGUUCCCCUUGAGGAGGGCCUGACUCCAUCAACCACCCAGCACCGGUGGUUGCCACGGGGGUCCUGAGGCAAAAGGUCUGGUCCGUGUAAUGUUCUGGCAGAGGACAGGCUUAGCUAAGCUCGACACAGGCCUACUGAGUCCCAACCCUGUGCAGGGCAGAGCAGGCCAGAGGAGGAUGAAGAAUACAUCAUUGUGGAACUCAUUUGGUUGGCCAAAUCCAAUGACCACCUUCUCUAUAGGUUAAAGAAAAAUUGCUGAAUACCUACAGACUUGGGCAAGAAUACGAACACUUGGAGCUUCCCCUCUCUGGCCUUGAGAUAUUUUCUCAUGUGUCAGUGGAGUGAACUGGGCCAGGAAAUCUUGAAAGCCAACAUCAAACUCAAUGCUUUUAGAAUCAACACAUGGUGUGCACAGUGCGUGAACAGCAUGGAAAGUGGUGCUGGAGCGAGGUGUCUCUUCUGUCGCUGCAUGGGGUGAUUCUGAGGGAGGAUGCAACGUUUCAACUCUUUCCCUUAGAUUUGGCUAAAGGUUUUGGAAUAAGCAUUCAACUAGACCUUUAUUACAAAGCAACAAACAUGAACAGCCCAAGAAAGCAUCCAAACUGCAAAAGAAAGGGGUUCCUUGUGUUUUGCUACUUGGCAACGAGCUCAUCUUAAAUCAGAACAAGACUGAUUCUGCGUAGAUAGGAACUCUUGGAACUAGCUCUCCUUGCUGCCCCGAGCUGCAUAUGGCUGAGUGCCCC